UGGAUUUUAGCUGAUAAAAUCCCAUAAAACCUAGAAUAAAGAAAGUGCAUGCAGAAGGUGUGCGCAGUGUAACUGAUGACGACGUCACCAUGAGGCCGCCGGAACACGAGAACGGCACCAAGACAACGAUGGCACCAUAGGCUGCUAGGGCUUGCGUCAAAGCCGAUAUAUUGAGGAGGAUGGGGCUUUACGCGGGCACGACACGAUGAGAUUGUCUUCAUGGCCAACGGCAAGGGCGAAAUCGUG
rnacentral:lncRNA from 1 species